UGAAAUGCCUUCUGGAAAUCCUUUGAUGGUCAAGAGUAAAUACAAGGGGAGGGGAGAGAUUGAAUGGGACCUGAGAAGAGACAAUAGUUUGAGAUGAAGUUCAUCUGGGCUCCAGGCACUUCCACCUCAACAUGUUUGUCAAUUAUUUCCCAUUGAAUUUCUUGGAGAAUUUUCAAAUAGUCUCAUCCCAUCAUAUUUUUCGUAUGUCAACUUUUCCAGAAGAUAAAAAAAAAAAAUAGAGCUUUCGACUUUCCUUCAGCAGUUAGAAGAGGAAAGAGAAAAUGGAGUUGGGGAACAAGGAAAGCACCACUAAGCAGGUUGAUCAUAUUGGCCUCUUCUCAGAAAUGAUGUCCAAAAGUCUUCACUGAGUGUGGCCGGAUGAUUUUGCUAAAGUGUAAACUGGUGAACCUUUCUAUGGGUCUUUAUAUUGGCAUUUUUUCAUUCAUUAAAAAAAAGAUAAGUAAGUUGAUGGAGUUGGUUCUCCUAAUUCUGCUAUUCAAUAACUUUGUGAUUGGAUAAGCAUAAAAUAUAUAAAAGUACAGAGAAUCACAGCUUGGCAAACUUUCUCCCCUUUCUAAGAAGACCCCUGAAUGGCCCUGCCUAUUACAAAUGGUACCUUGUUCAUGCCUUUUGUGCUGACAUUUAUUGGGAUCCCCGGUUUUGAAUCUGUACAAUGCUGGAUUGGGAUUCCAUUCUGUGCUACGUAUGUCAUUGCUCUGAUUGGAAAUUCUCUACUUUUGAUCAUCAUCAAAUCUGAGCCAAGCCUCCAUGAACCCAUGUAUAUCUUCCUGGCCACGUUAGGAGCCACAGACAUUUCACUUAGCACCAGCAUUGUGCCCAAGAUGCUUGAUAUUUUUUGGUUCCAUUUGCCAGAGAUAUAUUUUGAUGCUUGCCUCUUUCAGAUGUGGCUCAUCCACACAUUUCAAGGCAUUGAAUCAGGAGUCCUGCUAGCCAUGGCUCUGGACCGCUGUGUAGCGAUCUGUUAUCCUCUGAGGCGUGCUAUAGUAUUCACUC
ensembl:lncRNA novel transcript